rnacentral:rRNA from 1 species
UACAGAGGUGGCAAGCGUUGUUCGGAAUUACUGGGCGUAAAGGGCGCGUAGGCGGCCAUCUAAGUCAGACGUGAAAUCCCCCGGCUCAACCUGGGAACUGCGUCUGAUACUGGAAGGCUAGAGUUUGGGAGAGGGAUGUAGAAUUCCAGGUGUAGCGGUGAAAUGCGUAGAUAUCUGGAGGAAUACCGGUGGCGAAGGCGGCAUCCUGAACCAAUACUGACGCUGAGGCGCGAAAGCUAGGGGAGCAAACGGG